GGAUGAACGCUGGCGGCGUGCCUAAUACAUGCAAGUCGAGCGAACAGAUGAGGAGCUUGCUCCUCUGACGUUAGCGGCGGACGGGUGAGUAACACGUGGAUAACCUACCUAUAAGACUGGGAUAACUUCGGGAAACCGGAGCUAAUACCGGAUAAUAUAUUGAACCGCAUGGUUCAAUAGUGAAAGACGGUUUUGCUGUCACUUAUAGAUGGAUCCGCGCCGCAUUAGCUAGUUGGUAAGGUAACGGCUUACCAAGGCAACGAUGCGUAGCCGACCUGAGAGGGUGAUCGGCCACACUGGAACUGAGACACGGUCCAGACUCCUACGGGAGGCAGCAGUAGGGAAUCUUCCGCAAUGGGCGAAAGCCUGACGGAGCAACGCCGCGUGAGUGAUGAAGGUCUUCGGAUCGUAAAACUCUGUUAUUAGGGAAGGACAAAUGUGUAAGUAACUAUGCACGUCUUGACGGUACCUAAUCAGAAAGCCACGGCUAACUACGUG
rnacentral:rRNA from 1 species